AUUCCAUUUUCAAUACUCAGUACAAAACGACAUCUUUCGGAAAAAGGGGAAAAAGCAACUACAACCGGUCUUCUGUGCCAUUUUUCAUUCUGAUGGCAAGACAUAAAAUAGUAACAUCGACUUCCUUAAGAUUUUAGUUUUCGCAAUAAGAACACUUCUAUUCAAUUAGUGCAGUAUACAUUAGAGAAUUGAUAGAAUUGAUAAGUAAAUUUAUAAAAGCAAUAAAGUGGCGAGUAUUCCUUGGAAAAACAACGUAAACGAAAUUUUGGAUCGGAAACUCUCGGUGACCAUGUGUUCCACUAAAUGUCGUAUUACCGUAUUCAGCGUGGGGAAUGUCGAUUUCCAGGCACGGAAUGAGAUUUAUAAAAUACUUUCAACUUGGUGAUUGAAUCAAAUUCCCGAAAUUUCCAAUGGACUAAUAUCCAGACCAUUCCAACCUCAAUUACUGAAGAGGUGUUCGCUUCAUUACUCGUAACCAGCUGGAUGUGAAAAGGCAGUUCGCUGAUAUAGCUGAUUAUGAAACUUGGUCGAAAUAUAACUUCAGGAUAUACUAGAUUCCAAUCACGAACGAAAUGAAACUGGUUGCUGUUGGUUGUGGAGGAUGAGAUCGGGAUGGAGUGCUGAAUUCAGGUUUCAUUUUUCAUUCAAAUCGCAAAAGAUGCUUAACGCGGUGCUGUAGAUAGUGGCCGCUAAGGAAUGGAUUAUUGAAUUCAGAGUAGUAGAACCAAAUCGCGAACAAGAUGAAUUUGCUACUGACGGUGGUGGUGAAGGGCUGAAUUCAGGUAACUGAAAAAAUCAUUUUAUUUCAUGUUCGUUUCCUUUAAAUGAUGAACUCUACGGAUUCCCCAACAUUUCCACGAGUAAAUGAGAAAAAACUGCACUGAAUUAACAAUCUAAAACGAAAAUUUACUCGGAGUUUUGCAGAAAAACUAACAGCCGCUUCUUUAUUGUUUCAGGCCUCGCCGAACUAUGUAAAACUAACUACCACCAAUGCUACCGAGGUUGCUAUCAUAGAAUUUAAAUCCAUUGAAAUGUUUCGCAAUAAAAGACACUGAAUUCGUAAAUCGUUGAAUCUUAUUCAUUAUGUAAGUUUCCUUCAAUUGCAGAAAGACAUGGAUUACUUCUAAAUCUCGACUUUCCAAUGUUAUCAUUAUAUUCGUAAGUGUGGCCAAUCGAAACACAUAUAAUUUGCCCCACGCUGAAUUAUCUUAUCAUUCGCUAAAGAGAAGUAUGAUUAUCAUCCAGACCGAUAAAUGCUAUUCGACUUGGUUCCUAUGGUGACAUUUAACUAAAUUCGGU